rnacentral:lncRNA from 1 species
AUGCCACCACAUCAGCUGUUAGCUUGCUAUGGUUUUAGUCCCUUAAUCACCAACAGCUUCAGGAUCCCACUGGGCAAUCAAACACGAGGUGAGACAGCUGAGAAAGGGGACACUCCGUCUAGCUUGCAGGAACCAGAGUACGCAUUCAUGGGCAAGAAGAGUCCAUCAAGAGCAGGUCUAGUAAACUUUAAUAACCAAAUUUAAGGUAAGGAAACCUUUGCAAUUAACUUAAAUAUUUUUAACUGCAUUAAUAAAUUUAAUGCAAUCGGUUUUCUUUUUAGGUUCAACACUUGUAAUAUAGUGACCCCAAGCCUUCUUAAAUGUACCAAAUCAGUUUACACACUUAACAAAAUUGUUUAUACUUUUUAAUGUAAAAUCAUAAAUCUAAACAUAUUACUCAAUUACACAUUAUUUCAAUUAAAAUAAUGAGUUAAUCUCUUAGAUACUCCAAUAUGCCAAAAAAUCUUAACUAUUACAAGUACUAAAAAAAAUAGACGUACACAAAUUGUUUCUGAACCAAACAUAAAAAAUUCAAGUUGUGGGUAUGAUUUAUUCAUUAUUUCUAUGAACGAUGCUAAAGCUUUUUGGAGUUAGACUCGUCCCCACUUCAAAAACACUUAUAGCAUCCUUGGCGAGACAGUGUCCUUGUCACAGAGCAAAGCAUACAGUUAGACUUGUGUAAGACUGGGCUGCCACCAAAACAUGGUUCAGGGCUGAGCUGCUGAUGAAACGUACUUGCUGAAACGUACUUAGAGUUGCCACAAUAGGGACCCCAUAAAUUCU